rnacentral:rRNA from 1 species
GGCUCAGGAUGAACGCUAGCGGCAGGCUCAACACAUGCAAGUCGAGGGGCAUCGGGAGUAGCAAUACUUGCCGGCGACCGGCGCAAGGGUGCGUAACGCGUGAGCAACAUGCCCGUAUCAGGGGGAUAAUCCAUGGAAACGUGGUCUAAUACCCCAUAGUAAUUAUGUAAGGCAUCUUAUAUAAUUUAAAGCUUUGGUGGAUACGGAUUGGCUCGCGUGACAUUAGCUAGAUGGUAAGGUAACGGCUUACCAUGGCUACGAUGUCUAGGGGUUCUGAGAGGAAGGUCCCCCCACACUGGAACUGAGACACGGUCCAGACUCCUACGGGAGGCAGCAGUGAGGAAUAUUGGACAAUGGAUGGAAAUCUGAUCCAGCCAUGCCGCGUGCAGGGAAAGACGGCCCUAUGGGUUGUAAACUGCUUUUGUAUGGGAGCAAUAAGGGCCUACGUGUAGUCCGAUGAGAGUACCAUACGAAUUAAGCACCGGCUAACUCCGUGCCAGCAGCGGC